rnacentral:misc_RNA from 1 species
GUUGGAUUGGGGAGAAAAAUGAAAUUAUGAGGACAGCAACCAAGACAUGAACCCAGAAGCAUCUGCAGUAUAUCCUAAAUGCAUCAUGCAUACAAUUAUAGGUUGUCAUGUAAGUAAUCUAGUGUUUUAGUUCAAUAUGCCAAAGAAUAUUUGCAACAGAUGUAUAACAUGGGUAAAGAUGUGAAGGAAGAGGGCUUGGAAUUUUUGUGCUCCACAGAUAACACAUCCAUGAUUGAAGGGGAACUUGCUUGAUUCCAUUGUCAAAUUAAUUGCUCAUACCUACACAAACAACUAAAUUAAUUGGGGAACCACAAAGUUCAAC